rnacentral:rRNA from 1 species
AUUGAACGCUGGCGGCAGGCCUAACACAUGCAAGUCGAGCGAGCGGCGGACGGGUGAGUAAUGUCUGGGAAACUGCCUGAUGGGGGGGGAUAACUACUGGAAACGGUAGCUAAUACCGCAUACCAUCAGAUGUGCCCAGAUGGGAUUAGCUAGUUGAUGGGGUAACGGCUCACCUAGGCUACGAUCCCUAGCUGGUCUGAGAGGAUGAACAACCACACUGGAACUGAGACACGGUCCAGACUCCUACGGGAGGCAGCAGUGGGGAAUAUUGCACAAUGGGCGCAAGCCUGAUGCAGCCAUGCCGCGUGUGUGAAGAAGGCCUUCGGGUUGUAAAGCACUUUCAGCGGGGAGGCGUUACCCGAAGAAGAAGCACCGGCUAACUCCGUGCCAGCAGCCGCGGUAAUUC